AUGAACGCUGGCGGCGUGCCUCAUACAUGCAAGUCGAGCGAACAGACGAGGAGCUUGCUCCUCUGACGUUAGCGGCGGACGGGUGAGUAACACGUGGAUAACCUACCUAUAAGACUGGGAUAACUUCGGGAAACCGGAGCUAAUACCGGAUAAUAUAUUGCACCGCAUGGUUCAAUAGUGAAAGACGGUUUUGCUGUCACUUAUAGAUGGAUCCGCGCCGCAUUAGCUAGUUGGUAAGGUAACGGCUUACCAAGGCGACGAUGCGUAGCCGACCUGAGAGGGUGAUCGGCCACACUGGAACUGAGACACGGUCCAGACUCCUACGGGAGGCAGCAGUAGGGAAUCUUCCGCAAUGGGCGAAAGCCUGACGGAGCAACGCCGCGUGAGUGAUGAAGGUCUUCGGAUCGUAAAACUCUGUUAUUAGGGAAGAACAAAUGUGUAAGUAACUAUGCACGUCUUGACGGUACCUAAUCAGAAAGCCACGGCUAACUACGUG
rnacentral:rRNA from 1 species